UUUUUAAGUUCAAAAGCUUCAUCAUGUGGUGAUCAGAACAUCAAUGUGACUGACCAAUAAGUGCCCACCUUGACUGGACUUCCUCUUACUCCUUGAUGAAUUGCUUUCCAUCCUCACUGACAUUACAUUCAGACAUAUCUGGCAAGUUUGUGUUUGGUAUUUGACUAUUUGUCUGUAAACCAUUUUUGUGAAAAUUAUUCUUUGCCAUUCUAGGGAGGGAGUGAAAUAUGGUCACAGUUAUUGCUUCACUUGCUUUCCACCCGAGUGAGAACCACCGACAGCGCCUUGUAUUUCUGGGAUUGGAAUAUUCUCCAACCAUUUGCCAAAUGUAGUUCAGCCAAUGAAAAGUAGAAACUCGGAUAUGUCACUAUACGAUAUGCUACUCACUGAUAGUAUAUUCAACACUUUUGGCCACAUCUGUCUUUGUGUCCGGUGCAAGUUUGUCUCAAUCAGGUAGCCCUUCGACAUUACGAGGUCCUGCUCAAGUUACGAAUCCUAUACCGAACCGACUGUAGAGCGCAGUGAACAAGAACGGGAACGCAACCUUCAAAGCCGUUAUCAAACAUUACUCGACCAGUGCGAAAGACUUUGAGUUCGUUAUCAGGAACUACGCCAUCGCGCUGCAGAACUGGAACUUCACGCCUCCGGUUCUACUCAGAGUACAGCCACUGGACCUUCAGCAUCAGCAACUUCCUUUCAUAUCAAUAGCGAAGUUCCUCUUCCUCCACCAUUUACUACUGUCACUCCAGCUCUUUCUACCGUUUCUUUUGCUCCCCUUGUUGAACCGUCCACUAGUACCAGCAGCCGGACGAGUCCUCUCACUCCGCCCACUCCCAACUCUUCCGUUGAAGCGUCUCUAUUGAACGCCAGCGACAGUUUAUGUCGCACGCAGAUGAAUGCGGCCGAGAAUCUGCGUUCAUCCCUCACCAAUAGCGGUCGCACUCUAAACACCAACCAAUCGCAGUCGUCUGGAACGGGAAAAACCCUACGCAAUAACAAAAAAUUUUCAGCCUUCUAACUUCUUUUUCCGCGCGUUCUAGUAACAAGACAUGUUUCAUACGUACCUGCAAUUCUUUUCACGUAAGUCAUAAGUCAUAACUCAUAACUCGCCCAAAUCCUCACAAAUCCUCUUCCGGCUUGUGACUGUUUGUAAAUAUCCUUCUAAAAAGAAGUCUAAACAACCCUCCUCCCCCCUAGGACCAUGACAUGAUUGACGUCAUACGUGAACUGUCUUAUCACCAUGUCACAAUCACUUCUCAUUCCAAGUAGACCUAAGUUACUCCCUAAGACGUUGGCGAAAAAAAACACACAUUUCAAAAGAGAAUUUUUUUUCAAGUCUCAAGAGUGUAAAUUCAUUAUUAUGAAGGAGAAAGUUGCGUGAUUGUUACAAAUCAAUUUUGUAGCAGUAAUACUUAUUAAAUUAUUUCACUGAUUAUUACAACAAACAAUACAUUGGCAAAAUUAGGGAAAGCCAGAAAUUUUAAUUAUUGUCACAUAAAAAAAAG